UGUUUGUGUUGGUAUUCAUUCACAUGCCCAGAAGGCAUGGUCAGCUAAUGGCACCAUUGUCUGCAAUAUGCCUGUGAACAUCCAGAGCAAACCUAUAGUGUGGGGAGAAAACAAUUAACUAACUGAUUAAGGUGUUGGGCUGAUGGCAAGGUAGACAGAAAGAGAUGAUGUUUCAUUCCAUGUGCCAAUGGCUUGCAGCAUUCAGAUGGGUGCCUGGGGAGCACUUUCCUGAUGAAACCCAAUUUGUUGGUGUAUAACUUGGACAUCUGAAAUCUAAAGCUCACCAAGCAGCUUGCAGAGAAGAAUCAGGAGAAGUUUCGCUGUGAAUUUCAUUUCUCUGGGUAUAUGGGAGACAUUUGAUAACAUUUUAAAGUAAAGACAAAUCAACAAAUUGUUUCAUCGAUGCGUUGGGAAAAAUGCACAUUCAUGAUUCAUCGACCUUGAUGAAUUACAAAUUACAACAAAUUGCUAUUUUUUUCCAAUUUGUGCCCAUCUGUGGUCAUCACCCAGUGUCCUGUGGAAAAAGUGGGAAUCUGACUGCCAGCAUAGUUGCUGUUGCUGCUGCUUGCAAUGCCAGUACCAGAAAGAAAUCAUUUGGGGAAAAAGGACAACGCUGUGCUACAGUCAGAGCUAUUAUUGAUUCUCACCUCUGAUUAGUUGUUGGAUAAUUGUUCUUCUGAAAAUAACUGGGUGAUAUAGUCCCAACAAUUUAUCUUCCCAGAAACAGAAUAAGAAUUUCAAGAGGCUAUUUGCAUGCAGUUAUAGUGGCAAACAGUAUUAAACUAAACUCAUUAAUACUCACUUGACAAAGUCUGGGUUAGCAGAAAGAAAUCAGCAUGUUGCUUUGAUAGGGAAGCAGAAUAUGAGAUCUGUCCCACUGCUGUCAGGAAUUAUUCCAGGGCAGCUUGUUUGUGAAAUGCUUAUUCCCUCUCACUGUGACAGAACAAUCUCUUUAUAGCAUGUGAAUCUUUUGUAGUUCUUUUAAGGAAUUGUAUAUUUAAAGAACCUGGUAGUGUCAAGAUCCUGCAAGAACACUAAGCACGCAAACAAAACAAUUUUGAGCAAAAAACUUGUAUAAUGGCCCAAAAAUGAACAAUGGUUUGGAAGCUUCCAUUUUAAGGCAAUAUUUUGUUAUAGAAGGAUUGAGCUCUUGCUUGUUGAUUCCACAUGGUUCGUCCACACAUCUGUAUAUUAUCAUGGUGGUUUUAAG